rnacentral:miRNA from 1 species
UACACCCACAUAUACUGUAUACACACACACAUAUAUAUACAUAUAUGUAUUAUAUAUUGCAAUAUAUGUGUGUGGGUGUAUGUGUAUGUGUGGGUGUGUA